GGAAGGAUCAUUACCAAAUCCAAAUCUCAACCCCAUGUGAACUGUUGUUUGUCUGUCUUUGGGGGUGGCGCUUUUGCUUAGCGAAGAGAAGCGCUUGUCGCUUUUUCCUCCACAGCUUUUUUGCUGCCCCCAAAUGAAUCCGGCACUCCGGUGCUUGGGUUCAACAGCUAAACCACUUCUUAAACUUUGUUGGAAUAACUUUUAUUAAUACUAAUAAAGGACAACUCUUAACAGUGGAUCUCUUGGCUCGUGGAUCGAUGAAGAACGCAGCAAACUGCGAUACGUAGUGUGAAUUGCAGAAUUCAGUGAAUCAUCGAAUCUUUGAACGCAAAUUGCGCUGUCGGGUAUUCCUGACAGCAUACUUGGCUGAGUAUCAUCUGGACAAAUCACACAUCUUUUUGUGUGGACAUGAGGCGUCACAUUGCGCAUGCGAUGGGUCCCUUUAAAUUCAGAUAGGUAAAGGAUAUUGGCGUCCUUGAACCACUAGCGUGGCAAUUGUCCUCUGGGCAUCAAGCGCUAUGUCGGGGCUUGGGCAUUAAAGCCGGUCUUCGGAGCCUUCUUACACAACUCUUUUUUGAAACUUUGAUCUCAGCUCAAGUAAGACUACCCCCUGAAUUUAAGCAUAUUAAUAAGGGGAGGAAAAGAAACUAACAAGGAUUCCCUUAGUAACGGCGAGUGAAGCGGGAAGAGCUCAAAUUUUAAAGCUCCGUGGUUCCCACGGCGCAUUGUAAACUAAAGAGGCGUUUUUUCGCGCAGCCCCGGUACAAGUCCGUUGGAACGCGGCGUCAUGGAAGGUGAGAACCCUGUACAUGACUGGGUGCCUGUGUGUCUACAAUACGUCCUCAACGAGUCGGGUUGUUUGGGAAUGCAGCCCAAAAUGGGUGGUAAAUUUCAUCUAAGGCUAAAUAUUGCCACGAGACCGAUAGCGAACAAGUACCGUGAGGGAAAGAUGAAAAGAACUUUGAAAAGAGAGUUAAAAAGUACGUGAAACUGUUAAGAGGGAAGCGAAUGGCACUAGCAUUUGUACCUUUCAUAAUCAAUUAUUCACACUGAAGCCGUGCAGCGUAGGGAGUGUCAAAGCCUCUUGUUGUACGUUCGGAUGUGUGCAUGAUGCACUUGUGGCUGGUACAGGUCAACAUCAGUUCGGACUGAAACAUAAGCGCGUUGGGAAGGUGGCUUGCAGCUUCGGUUGUAAGUGUUAUAGCCCUUCGUGAACGUUUCGGGCUGGACUGAGGAGUCGCAGGUCGUGCCCUCGGGCUAGUCCCCUGGCCUCUGGUGUAGCAGCUCCGUAACACUUGCGAAAAGCAAGUACUAUAGAGCAACGCGGCGCCACCGGUUAGGUGUGUCAUAAACGACCUUCGGAUGUUGGCGAAAUGGUGUUAUCUGACCCGUCUUGAAACACGGACCAAGGAGUCUAACAUUUAUGCGAGUCUUUGGGUGGCAAACCCGCAGGCGCAAUGAAAGUGAAGGCACGUUCGGCGUGCUGAGGUGAGAUCCGCAAGGUGCAUCAUCGACCGAUCUGGAUGGUUUCCUGAAAGAUUUGAGUAAGAGCAUACAUGUUGGGACCCGAAAGAUGGUGAACUAUGCCUGAAUAGGGUGAAGUCUGAGGAAACUCAGAUGGAAGCUCGUAGCGAUUCUGACGUGCAAAUCGAUCGUCAAAUUUGGGUAUAGGGGCGAAAGACUAAUCGAACCAUCUAGUAGCUGGUUCCCUC
rnacentral:misc_RNA from 1 species